rnacentral:rRNA from 1 species
UGCAAGCCGAGCGGAGACAGUGAGUAGCUUGCUAUGAGCUGUUUUAGCGGCGGACGGGUGAGUAACGCGUGAGCAACCUUUCCCAGACAGGGGAAUAACACACCGAAAGGUGUACUAAUACCGCAUAAGACCACGGGAUCACAUGGUUCUGGGGUAAAAGAUUUAUCGGUUUGGGGUGGGCUCGCGUCCGAUUAGGUAGUUGGUGAGGUAACGGCCCACCAAGCCGACGAUCGGUAGCCGACCUGAGAGGGUGAUCGGCCACAUUGGGACUGAGACACGGCCCAAACUCCUACGGGAGGCAGCAGUGGGGAAUAUUGGGCAAUGGGGGGAACCCUGACCCAGCAACGCCGCGUGGAGGAAGAAGGUUUUCGGAUCGUAAACUCCUGUCCUUGGAGACGAGUAGAAGACGGUAUCCAAGGAGGAAGCCCCGGCUAACUAUGUGCCAGCAGCCGCGGUAAUACGUAGGGGGCAAGCGUUGUCCGGAAUAAUUGGGCGUAAAGGGCGCGUAGGCGGCUCGGUAAGUCUGGAGUGAAAGUCCUGCUUUUAAGGUGGGAA